UCCCAGGCCGGGACCCUCUGGAGGGGCGUGCUUUCUGUUGUUUAUAAACAAACAAAGCACAUCCCUCUAGAGUGUCACCGCCUGACA
rnacentral:pre_miRNA from 1 species